GCUUCGCAGUAAACUGACUGAGUUAAACAUGUUCUUGGGUGUUUGCAAAUUUCUAUUAAAUUGAUUGAGCGUAUGUUUUUGCUGCAGUUGAUUUGAAGCAUAAAAAAUCCGGUCAGGGAGGGACUCGAACCCUCGACCUCACGAUUAACAGUCGUGCGCAAUAACCAACUAUGCUACCCGACCUUAGUUACUCACGAGCAAAAUUAGUACUAUUUAAUGGUAUUAAAAAGGAUUUAAUGACUUUAAAAUUGUUUUUUUUUUAACCCCAUUCUUGCUUGAUAUAUUUCCCAUCUUAAAGGGUUACAUACUCUUAUUCUUUUAUCUUUCAUUCGAUUGUGAUUGAUUUACCAUAUCAAUAAUCAUCUUACAAGACCGGAAACUAUCAACUAUCUGGACGUAAAGUGAAGCAUAAAGAAGAUGGCAUAGAGGACGGAAGGGAAUUUUUAUUAUUAUUCCAAGAAACCAUGCUAAAAUCACGUUUAAACCCUACUCCCUACUAACUCAGUAUCUACUGAGU